AUCCAAUACAGCUCAAAUCUGCAGGCAAACAUGAUUAAACUGUUUCGAGGGUAGCCAAACUUUGGCCCACACAGUAACUUGGCAGAUCCACAAGGGAUUUUAAAGGCUGACGGUGUAGGCAGAUUAGUAUGAGGAACAUUACUGCCUGUCUAAAUAUUAAAAGCAGUCAGCUUGAGUCGCAGACAGAUACAGAGAGAUUAUUCGACCCCUGGACUUGUUUAUGAAAGUCAGACAAAAUAAGCGGAGGAGUGCAAUCUCUCAGGCUCACGAGGGACCGGCUGUGUGGGUGGACCGCUUCGCUGGAGGAGCCCCAGAUGGCUCCGACUCACCGUAUCCCAUAAUCCUUCACCAGGCCCGUGAGGAAGUGUGGAGAAAUGCAGAGAACAGAGACGUGUAAAACAACUCUUCCAGGUGUCACCAGCAGAUGCAGGAGGGGCUUUCGCUGGCGUUGUGUCCUCCAGCCAUUCUUCCAGGCCGAGCGCAGGCUCUCUGCUGUGGUUCAAAGCUCUGACUGAUAGGGUCUGUUAUGCUGACCUGUGCAGCUGUAGAGCCGCUCAAUGCUGGAUUUGUGACAUCAGCGCUAAGCCCUUUCAAUUAGCGCUCGCCCUGUCAUCACGCCAGCCUCUGAUCCUCCUCACACAGCUGGCAUGUGCCUUACACAUGCAGCGUACAGGUGGACGCCUCCGCCCAGGUGUUCACGGACAGAUUUCAAGGAAUAUUCCGGGUUCAGUACAAGGUUAACAGGCAGCAUGUUGAUAAGCACAAAACAUACUUUAAAUAAACGAGUAUCUUGGUUAUAAUUGUGUGUAUAACUGUGCAAACGCAUCAUUAGAGUCUGUGAGAAGAGUCAAUGGAAGUGAAUCAUAAACGUUUCGAUAGCCACAAGAUGUAAACAACAGGCAUGUUAACCUGUGGUAUUUUUAUUUUGCUACUGCAUAAUAUCACAUUUUUGACUCCACUGUAUUUCAUAAAAGCACAUUGUUCCUUGUUAUUUUGAACUGAAGAAAUUGAUAGCUCGUCUGAAGCACAAGUGUGUUGUCUGUUUGUGAACAAGCUGAUUCUUUGCAAUUAACCUGUUGAAUUAGUUCACAAAUCAUUUGCACAUUUGAUUUAUCAAUAACUGAAAUUUAUAUUUUAGUAUAUUGAAGUUUAAUGUUUUGCAUAGCUUAUUUGCAGAUCAAUACAUAUUAAAUGUCUACACUAUUCUUUAC
rnacentral:lncRNA from 1 species